rfam:Echinostoma caproni strain Egypt genome assembly, scaffold: ECPE_scaffold0002036
GGCCUCGUAGCUCAGCUGGUAGAGCAUGCGCGUACAAAGCGUAGGCGGCGUCCAUGCGUGGUUCGAAUCCCACCGAGGCUA